rnacentral:tRNA from 1 species
UCGGGGAUCGUGCUAACGGUAGGCGGCCUGGCUUUGACCCAGGAGAUGGAGGUUCGAUUCCUCCUCCCCGAA